GGAAGGAGGCGUUCCUCCAUCGCGAGCCAGCCACCAAGCUAUGACCAAAUUGGAGACAUUGUUUCUAUUACCUUCCGUUUUAGUAAGCUUAUGAAGAAAUUGCCCUGUAUCACCUUGCUCUGCAAUUGUUUCUGAUUCAUUUAGUUUUUCAGAGUCAUUAUUGUUAUUGUUCGGCGUUACCGCCCUUGUCUAGAGCUAUUGAAUGUUUUUGCUGCGAGAAUAUUACUAGAAUCGCUGCUGCUGCCACGAAUUGGGGAUAAAGGGGAUUCCUGCGUCAAAUCCUGCUAUUGCGACAUUGAGCUGCCAAGACUCAGAAAAAGGCAAGGGCUGGAAGCGAUUUGAGUUUGACAAGGAUGCGCCUCUUGAAGAUGAGGAAAUUGAAGUGGCUGAAGAUGAUGCUUCCUUGGUCAAGCAAAUUGGCCAGAGUUUCUAGUAUUCUAAAAUAGAGGCAAGAAAGGAGGAACAAAUCCAAGCUGCUCAUGACAAAGCCAUGUUUGGUGCUUCAGCACUUCCACCUCCUACCAGUACUGACAGUGAGUCUGAAAGGGAGAAUGAGAAAGAAGUUGAUAAAAAAGCUGUUGUUACAAGCCUCUUAAGUGAAACGGAGUGCUGAAAUGGUGACCAUAUGCUACCUUGAGGGCUCAAGAAUAUUUUGAUGCAUAGAGACACUAAUCUAUGUUAGAACUUUUAUGUUUUGGUUAAACUUUUAUGUUAGAACUUUUAUGUUUUGGUUGAACUAAUCAAUGUACUCACUAGCUAAUGUUAUUUUGUUUCAAGACAAUUUUAGCUAAAAGGAUCUUGUUUGACUUAUGUAUGUUUUUGCAUAUUAUAUACAAGUAAACUUGCUUAUUAAAA